AGUGAACGCUGGCGGUAGGCCUAACACAUGCAAGUCGAACGGCAGCACAGUAAGAGCUUGCUCUUACGGGUGGCGAGUGGCGGACGGGUGAGGAAUACAUCGGAAUCUACUUUUUCGUGGGGGAUAACGUAGGGAAACUUACGCUAAUACCGCAUACGACCUACGGGGGAAAGCAGGGGAUCUUCGGACCUUGCGCGAUUGAAUGAGCCGAUGUCGGAUUAGCUAGUUGGCGGGGUAAAGGCCCACCAAGGCGACGAUCCGUAGCUGGACUGAGAGGAUGAUCAGCCACACUGGAACUGAGACACGGUCCAGACUCCUACGGGAGGCAGCAGUGGGGAAUAUUGGACAAUGGGCGCAAGCCUGAUCCAGCCAUACCGCGUGGGUGAAGAAGGCCUUCGGGUUGUAAAGCCCUUUUGUUGGGAAAGAAAAGCAGCAGGUUAAUACCCCGCUGUUCUGACGGUACCCAAAGAAUAAGCACCGGCUAACUUCGUG
rnacentral:rRNA from 1 species